AUGGAGGUCGUUUUGCUUGCCUCGGGCCUGAAUACCUUGUUGCCGAUGCUCUGGCACAACAGAGAAGCUACGAUCCAUACGAGGACUGCCAACGAUAUAAACAUCCAAGCUAUUAGAAGCGGGAGUAACCGACUGGAAGCUGCCCUCGAACACGCCAAGUUCAAGGGUGAUGUUGCCUUGAAGCAUGAAGCAAGAGAAGUGAGUCAAAACACGCGGGAUUGCAUACAGCGCUUCUUCAUAAAUAAGAGUGCAGACUCCAAGAAGUUUGAAAAGAAUAUCGAAGCAUACAAGAAACAAGUAGAAGAUCUCUGCGAUCGACUCGACAAGCACUCCUCAUCGGGAGAGACGGCCUCCCAGAAACCUCAAGAUCCGCAUGUCGCCCAACCCAUGGGCUUGGACGAACCCCUGGGUGAGCUUCUACAUCUUGUAACGCUACCAGGCAGCAUGCCAUCGGAGGGGAGGCGGAAGGUGAUCUCCGUCGUUGGCUUCAGUGGUCUAGGUAAGACUCUUCUUGCCAAGCUAGUCUACACGAACACGUCGCUGGAUUACGCUCUUCGGGCCAGGGUUACAGCGGCAGCGAAAGAUGCAGAUGAGGUUCUCAGGAAGAUACUCAAGGAAGUCCUCCCUGCAGGCCAAGAACAUGAGAACCAAAACUUGGAGCAUCUCAACUUGGAGAACCUCGCUCAACUGCUCGCGAGACACUUACGGGGAAAGAGGUGA
rnacentral:rRNA from 1 species